rnacentral:lncRNA from 1 species
AGGGCCCGGCCGAAACGUAGAUUUUGUAUAUUCACGUUUUUCAACUAUUAAAUUUCUUCUUCUUCCUGACCGGAACUUCGACGAACCUUUCAUUUUCAAUCUACCUCCCGGUCACAAAUUUCUUUCCUAAACACAAUGCAUCGAAACGGCUUCGUGGACGUCUCGUACCACCGUCAUCCUACGUCAUACCGAACUUCAAAUCACUCACAAACCAAGAAGAUCUGGAACUACCGGCAAAAACUAGCACGCAUCAAAAACCAUUUUAUUUCCUGAGGAUGGUCGGCAGGGCCCGGCCGAAACGUAGAUUUUGUAUAUUCACGUUUUUCAACUAUUAAAUUUCUUCUUCUUCCUGACCGGAACUUCGACGAACCUUUCAUUUUCAAUCUACCUCCCGGUCACAAAUUUCUUUCCUAAACACAAUGCAUCGAAACGGCUUCGUGGACGUCUCGUACCACCGUCAUCCUACGUCAUACCGAACUUCAAAUCACUCACAAACCAAGAAGAUCUGGAACUACCGGCAAAAACUAGCACGCAUCAAAAACCAUUUUAUUUCCUGAGGAUGGUCGGCAGGGCCCGGCCGAAACGUAGAUUUUGUAUAUUCACGUUUUUCAACUAUUAAAUUUCUUCUUCUUCCUGACCGGAACUUCGACGAACCUUUCAUUUUCAAUCUACCUCCCGGUCACAAAUUUCUUUCCUAAACACAAUGCAUCGAAACGGCUUCGUGGACGUCUCGUACCACCGUCAUCCUACGUCAUACCGAACUUCAAAUCACUCACAAACCAAGAAGAUCUGGAACUACCGGCAAAAACUAGCACGCAUCAAAAACCAUUUUAUUUCCUGAGGAUGGUCGGCAGGGCCCGGCCGAAACGUAGAUUUUGUAUAUUCACGUUUUUCAACUAUUAAAUUUCUUCUUCUUCCUGACCGGAACUUCGACGAACCUUUCAUUUUCAAUCUACCUCCCGGUCACAAAUUUCUUUCCUAAACACAAUGCAUCGAAACGGCUUCGUGGACGUCUCGUACCACCGUCAUCCUACGUCAUACCGAACUUCAAAUCACUCACAAACCAAGAAGAUCUGGAACUACCGGCAAAAACUAGCACGCAUCAAAAACCAUUUUAUUUCCUGAGGAUGGUCGGCAGGGCCCGGCCGAAACGUAGAUUUUGUAUAUUCACGUUUUUCAACUAUUAAAUUUCUUCUUCUUCCUGACCGGAACUUCGACGAACCUUUCAUUUUCAAUCUACCUCCCGGUCACAAAUUUCUUUCCUAAACACAAUGCAUCGAAACGGCUUCGUGGACGUCUCGUACCACCGUCAUCCUACGUCAUACCGAACUUCAAAUCACUCACAAACCAAGAAGAUCUGGAACUACCGGCAAAAACUAGCACGCAUCAAAAACCAUUUUAUUUCCUGAGGAUGGUCGGCAGGGCCCGGCCGAAACGUAGAUUUUGUAUAUUCACGUUUUUCAACUAUUAAAUUUCUUCUUCUUCCUGACCGGAACUUCGACGAACCUUUCAUUUUCAAUCUACCUCCCGGUCACAAAUUUCUUUCCUAAACACAAUGCAUCGAAACGGCUUCGUGGACGUCUCGUACCACCGUCAUCCUACGUCAUACCGAACUUCAAAUCACUCACAAACCAAGAAGAUCUGGAACUACCGGCAAAAACUAGCACGCAUCAAAAACCGUAAGGUGUUCCUCCUUAAAUGCCGCCAAUUUGGAAUUAUUCCAAAUUUUCUAAAUUUUAAAAUCAAAAACCUUCAACAUUUAAAAAGUGAAAAAACUUUCAUCAAAGCAUUACGCGUUUUUCAACAAAAGUGUCUGUCGCUUGAAAUUAAAACAUGU